rnacentral:rRNA from 1 species
UACGGGGGGGGCAAGCGUUGUUCGGAAUUACUGGGCGUAAAGGGUUCGUAGGUGGCCAACUAAGUCAUACGUGAAAUCCCUCAGCUUAACUGGGGAACUGCGUCUGAUACUGGUUGGCUUGAGUGCAGGAGAGGAACGCGGAAUUCCAGGUGUAGCGGUGAAAUGCGCAGAUAUCAGGAGGAACACCAAUUGCGAAGGCAGCUCGCUGGGACGUUACUGACGCUGAGACGCGAAAGCGUGGGGAGCAAACAGG